UAUAUCAAGCGCCAGCCUAUUCUUUUACGUUAUGAAAGCUGAUACGUAGCAGUAAACCGUAAAUUUUGGCCUAUAAAAUGCAAAAGGGGAAGUCAAAAUUGUGUGUUAACAGAAAGAAUAAUCGAAAGUUUUACUGCGUGCGAUCCCAUUUAAGGUAUGUGAAAAUGAUUUCACACACUUUCUGCAAGUGUUUAUGUAUAAUCAAAAUUGAUCUGAUAACGAAAUGCGGGAGAAGAAGAAAUGGAAACCGAUCUGAAAUAUUCUCUAAUGACAACGGUCGCAGCACUGGCUGUGAUUGUUAUCUUUAGUUUUGUUGCUGCGCUACAUUGAUUU
rnacentral:sRNA from 1 species